rnacentral:rRNA from 1 species
UACAGAGGGGGCAAGCGUUGUUCGGAAUUACUGGGCGUAAAGGGCGCGUAGGCGGCCCGCUAAGUCGAACGUGAAAUCCCCCGGGCUCAACCCGGGAACUGCGUCCGAUACUGGUGGGCUUGAAUCCGGGAGAGGGAUGCGGAAUUCCAGGUGUAGCGGUGAAAUGCGUAGAUAUCUGGAGGAACACCGGUGGCGAAGGCGGCAUCCUGGACCGGUAUUGACGCUGAGGCGCGAAAAGCCAGGGGGAGCAAACGGG